rnacentral:rRNA from 1 species
GGCGGGGUAGAGGCCCGCCGCGGUAACGACGGGUAACGGGGAAUCAGGGUUCGAUUCCGGAGAGGGAGCCCGAGAAACGGCUACCACUUCCAAGGAAGGCAGCAGGCGCGCAACUUACCCUAAUCUCGAUUCGAGGAGGUAGUGACAAGAAAUACCGAUGCGGGACCCUACGGGUGCCGCGUUCGGAAUGAGUACGAUUCGAACCACCUAACGAGGAACGAUCGGAGGGCAAGUCUGGUGCCAGCAGCCGCGGUAAUUCCAGCUCCAAUAGCGUACGUUAAAGUUGCUGCAGUUAAAAAGCUCGUAGUUGAACGUUCGGGUUCCGCGGACGGGCCGCCCGCGAGGACGGCGCCGCCCGGGCUCGUGAUAUCUCAUCUCGCCGCCCGUCGCGAGGCGGACGGAGGGGAGUGGAUGAGGUUACCUGGAAAAAAUACGGG